AUGCUCCCUUAAGCAGCACAUAUACUAAAACUGGAAUAAUUCAGAGAUUAGCACAGCCCCUAUGCAAGGAUGACAUGCAAAUUUGCAAAAAUGUUCCAUAUUUUU
ensembl:snRNA U6 U6 spliceosomal RNA